GGGCAGCCGCCCGCGGUAAAACCAGCUCUUCAAGUGGUCGGGAUAAUUAUUGGGCUUAAAGUGUCCGUAGCCGGUUUAGUAAGUUCCUGGUAAAAUCGGGUAGCUUAACUAUCCGCAUGCUAGGAAUACUGCUAUACUAGAGGGCGGGAGAGGUCUGAGGUACUACAGGGGUAGGGGUGAAAUCUUAUAAUCCUUGUAGGACCACCAGUGGCGAAGGCGUCAGACUGGAACGCGCCUGACGGUGAGGGACGAAAGCCAGGGGAGCGAACCGGAUUAGAUACGUUGGUGUUAUUUGAAUGUAAUGUAAGAAUUACUAACACAAUGCUAAAAACCCGGGUAGUCCUGGCCGUAAACGAUGCAUACUAGGUGAUGAUACGGCCAUGAGCCGUGUCAGUGCCGUAGGGAAACCGUUAAGUGUGCCGCCUGGGAAGUACGGUCGCAAGGCUAAAACUUAAAGGAAUU
rnacentral:rRNA from 1 species